rnacentral:lncRNA from 1 species
ACAAAGUGGAUGCGCAUGCAUGAGUACAGGGCUUAGCUACCAAACUAAACAAGGUACUGUGUUCCAUCCUUGUGUCUUGAUGCCUACACUAGAAAGAAAGUUGAGCGUAUUGCAGAUGAACAUAUAUAUAUAUAUAUAUAUAUAUAUAUAUAUAUAUAUAUAUAUUACAUAACUUCCAACACUCCGAUCUUUUUUUGUUGGAACCUAUCAUAAGUCUUCUGUGGAGCUAACUUUGUGGUCCUCAACUCCUCAUAUCCUAUGACCACAAUGAAUCAUAAUGCCACC